UACAGAGGGUGCAAGCGUUGUUCGGAAUUAUUGGGCGUAAAGCGCGUGUAGGCGGCUUUGCAAGUCGGGUGUGAAAGCCCUCAGCUCAACUGAGGAAGUGCGCCCGAAACUGCUUAGCUUGAGUAUCGGAGAGGAUGGCGGAAUUCCCCAAGUAGAGGUGAAAUUCGUAGAUAUGGGGAGGAACACCGGUGGCGAAGGCGGCCAUCUGGACGAUCACUGACGCUGAGACGCGAAAGCGUGGGGAGCGAACAGG
rnacentral:rRNA from 1 species